CUGAGAGUUUGAUUCUUGCUUUAUUAAUUAAAUGAUUAUACAAUUUAUAUGUUUUUAUUUUAUAAAAUAAUUUGUUGCAGUAACUAAUAUUAUUAGUUAAUUUAAUGAUUUAUUUAGUGAUUUAUUUAAAGUAGAUUAAUUUUGUGCCAGCAUUCGCGGUUAUACAAUUUAUUUUAUUUAAUUUUUUAAUUAAUUGAUUUUAUUAUUUAAUGAACUAUAAUUUAUAUUUUUAGGUGGAAUUUAAAUUAAUUAAAAUUUUUCUUUUAUGAUGAUUUGUAGUUUAAAUUUUAAACUAGGAUUAGAUACCCUAUUAUUUUAAAUGUAAAUUUUCUUUUUGAAUAUUAAUAGUUAUGUUCUAUAAAACUUAAAGGAUUUGACGGUAAUUUAAUUCUUUUUAGAGGAAUCUGUUUUUUAAUCGAUAAACCACGAUAUAUUUUACCUUUAUUUGAUUUGUAUAUCUCUAUAAUUUUCAAGAAUAUUUUAUUAAGGAUAUUUUCUUUUUUUUUUAGUUUAUAUUAGGUCAAGAUGCAGUUUUAUAAAGGUAAAAAUGGAUUACUUUAAUAUAAUAUAUUUUGAAUUUAUAUUCUUAUUAGUUUUAAUAAAAUAGGAUUUAAUAGUAAUUUUAAUUUAUUUAUUAAUGUGAAUUAAGCUCUAAAUUAUGUACAUAUCGCCCGUCGCUCCUAUUAUGUUAGGAUAAGUCGUAACAAAGUAGAUGUACCGGAAGGUGUAACUAGAAAGUU
rnacentral:ncRNA from 1 species